GAGACAUCACCCUCACCUUCAGCAGGUGUGACCCACAGAUGCAAAAGGCCACAGCCUGCCACUGGUCAGCUAUGGGGACUUUAGGCAAUGUUGGACUACAAGGAAGUGCCUUGUGCACGGACAGAAGACGAAAAAUCCCGAAAGAAGUCCGCAAGGACACGAAAAAUGACGCAGGAAAGCCACCAGAUGGGGCUCGACACUCGAGAAAAUGCUACGCCAGUCACAUACGACACUGGUGACACUGGUGUGACAUUCCCAGCAGACCCCGAGUGGGGUGGGAAUGGCCGUGGACCACCUGCUCUCCCAGUCCCCAGCAUGCCCAAAUCCACCACCUGUGCUUGGCACUUCCCUGGAAGAUCCCAACCCCAGAAGAUGCAGCAGAAUGGAUCCCGCCUUCCCUUCACCCAUGCAAGGAAUUAAAUAAGUGCAGUUCAGCUGGAAAGGCAAA